rnacentral:rRNA from 1 species
AAAAUUUAAAAUUAAAAUACUAAAAUAUUAAAUAAUUAUUUAUUAAAACUUAAAUAAUAUGGCGGUAUUUUAGUUCAUUUAGAGGAAUCUGUUUAAUAAUUGAUAUUCCACGAAUAAAUUUACUUAAUUUUAUAAUUUUGUAUAUCAUUGUUAUAAAAAUAUUUUUUAAUAAAAUUAAUAUUUAAAAAUUAUAAAAAAAAAUUAAAUCAAAUCAAGAUGCAGAUUAUAAUUAAGAAUAUAAUGGAUUACAAUAAAAUUAUUUAAAUGAAUAUUAAUUUGUAAAAAUUAAUUAAAAGUGGAUUUAAAUGUAAUUUUAUUUAAUUUAAUAAUAUGAUUAAAAAUUAAAAUAUGU